ACGAGUGAGUAACACGUGAGUAACCUGUCCCCGGGUCUGGGAUAACUACCCGAAAGGGUAGCUAAUACCGGAUAAAGUCACCGGACGCAAGUUCGGUGAUGAAAGGGGGCCUCUGCAUAGCAAGCUCCUGCCUGGGGAGGGGCUCGCGGCCCAUCAGCUAGUUGGUGGGGUAACGGCCCACCAAGGCGACGACGGGUAGCCGGCCUGAGAGGGUGGUCGGCCACGCGGGCACUGAGACACGGGCCCGACUCCUACGGGAGGCAGCAGGGGGGAAUCUUGGGCAAUGGGCGAAAGCCUGACCCAGCGACGCCGCGUGGGGGAAGAAGGCCUUCGGGUCGUAAACCCCUGUUCUGGAGGAAGAACCCAGGAUAGGUGAAUAACCUAUCCUGGCUGACGGUACUCCAGGAGAAAGCCACGGCUAACUGCGUGCCAGCAGCCGCGGUAAUACGCAGGUGGCGAGCGUUGCCCGGAAUUACUGGGCGUAAAGGGUGCGUAGGCGGCCGGACAAGUCAUAGGUUAAAGCCCGGAGCUCAACUCCGGAAAGGCCUAUGAUACUGUCUGGCUUGAGGGCCGGAGAGGCUGGCGGAAUUCCCGGUGUAGGGGUGAAAUCCGUAGAUAUCGGGAGGAACACCGGUGGGGAAGCCGGCCAGCUGGACGGUUCCUGACGCUGAGGCACGAAAGCGUGGGGAGCAAACCGGAUUAGAUACCCGGGUAGUCCACGCCGUAAACGAUGGGCGCUAGGUGUGGGGGUGAAAGCCUCUGUGCCGUAGCUAACGCGUUAAGCGCCCCGCCUGGGGAGUACGGCCGCAAGGCUGAAACUCAAAGGAAUUGACGGGGGCCCGCACAAGCGGUGGAGCACGUGGUUUAAUUCGAUGCAAAGCGAAGAACCUUACCUGGGCUUGACAUGCUAGGGUUGUACCCUGGUGGAAACACCGGGGGAGCGUAGGGGUUAUCUCUACGCGCUCUAGCACAGGUGCUGCAUGGCUGUCGUCAGCUCGUGUCGUGAGAUGUUGGGUUAAGUCCCGCAACGAGCGCAACCCCUGCCCUUAGUUGCCAUCGGUUCGGCCGGGCACUCUAAGGGGACUGCCGGGGAUAACCCGGAGGAAGGAGGGGAUGACGUCAAGUCCUCAUGGCCCUUAUGUCCAGGGCUACACACGUGCUACAAUGGGGGGUACAGAGGGUUGCGAACCCGCAAGGGGGAGCUAAUCCCAGAAAGCCCUCCUCAGUUCGGAUCGGGGUCUGCAACUCGA
rnacentral:rRNA from 1 species